CAGUCGCCGCGGGAAUACGAAGGGUGCAAGCGUUAAUCGGAAUUACUGGGCGUAAAGCGCGCGUAGGUGGUUCAUUAAGUUGGAUGUAAAAGCCCUGGGCUCAACCUGGGAACUGCAUCCAAAACUGGUGAGCUAGAGUAUGGUAGAGGGUGGUGGAAUUUCCUGUGUAGCGGUGAAAUGCGUAGAUAUAGGAAGGAACACCAGUGGCGAAGGCGACAACCUGGACUGAUACUGACACUGAGGUGCGAAAGCGUGGGGAGCAAACAGGAUUAGAUACCCCCGUAGUCCCUGUCUCUUAUAC
rnacentral:rRNA from 1 species